CCUACGGGAGGCAGCAGUAGGGAAUAUUGCUCAAUGGGGGCAACCCUGAAGCAGCAACGCCGCGUGAAGGAUGAAGGUUUUAGGAUUGUAAACUCUUUUUUUUAGAGAAGUUAAUGACGGUAUCUAACGAAUAAGCACCGUCUAACUCCGUGCCAGCAGCCGCGGUAAUACGGAGGGUGCAAGCGUUACUCGGAAUCACUGGGCGUAAAGCGUGCGUAGGCGGGGUAAUAAGUCAGAUGUGAAAUCCUGUAGCUUAACUACAGAAUUGCAUUUGAAACUGUUACUCUGGAGUGUGGGAGAGGUAGGUGGAAUGCUUGGUGUAGGGGUGAAAUGCGUAGAGAUCAAGAGGAAUACUCAUUGCGAAGGCGACCUGCUGGAACAUUACUGACGCUGAUGCACGAAAGCGUGGGGAGCAAACAGGAUUAGAUACCCGUGUAGUC
rnacentral:rRNA from 1 species